GGAGGGUGCAAGCGUUAUCCGGAUUCACUGGGUUUAAAGGGUGCGUAGGCGGGCAUGUAAGUCCGUGGUGAAAUCUCCGAGCUUAACUCGGAAACUGCCAUGGAUACUAUGUGUCUUGAAUGUUGUGGAGGUGAGCGGAAUAUGUCAUGUAGCGGUGAAAUGCUUAGAUAUGACAUAGAACACCAAUUGCGAAGGCAGCUCACUACACAAAUAUUGACGCUGAGGCACGAAAGCGUGGGGAUCAAACAGGAUUAGAUACCCUGGUAGUCCACGCCCUAAACGAUGAUUACUCGACAUACGUGAUACACAAUGUGUGUCUGAGCGAAAGCAUUAAGUAAUCCACCUGGGAAGUACGACCGCAAGGUUG
rnacentral:rRNA from 1 species